rnacentral:rRNA from 1 species
AGCAUGGUCUUAGCUUGCUAAGGCCGAUGGCGACCGGCGCACGGGUGAGUAACGCGUAUGCAACUUACCUAUCAGAGGGGGAUAGCCCGGCGAAAGUCGGAUUAAUACCCCAUAAAACAGGGGUUCCACAUGGAAAUAUUUGUUAAAGAAUUAUCGCUGAUAGAUGGGCAUGCGUUCCAUUAGAUAGUUGGUGAGGUAACGGCUCACCAAGUCCACGAUGGAUAGGGGUUCUGAGAGGAAGGUCCCCACAUUGGAACUGAGACACGGUCCAAACUCC